rnacentral:rRNA from 1 species
AGGGUAUGAUACUGGCUCAGAACGAACGCUGGCGGCGUGGAUUAGGCAUGCAAGUCGAGCGAUGAUUCUCACGAAUCAAAGCGGCGAAAGGGUGAGUAAUGCACAGACAACCUGCCCGCGAGAAAGGGAUAACGGCGCCCGCAAGGGUUCCCGAAAGGGCCGCUAAUACCUUAUGAAGCCGCGUGCUUCAUGGCAUGCGAUGAAAGGGGGCCUCUGUUUCAAGCUCUCGCUCGCGGAGGGGUCUGUGUCCUAUUAGCCAGUUGGUGAGGUAACGGCUCACCAAAGCUAUGAUGGGUAGCGGGCCUGAGAGGGUGGCCCGCCACACUGGGACUGAGACACUGCCCAGACUCCUACGGGAGGCUGCAGUCGAGGAUCGUUCACAAUGCGCGAAAGCGUGAUGACGCAACGCCGCUGCGGGACGAAGGCCUUCGGGUUGUAAACCGCUGUUGGGGAGUAUGAAAGGGAUGGUGCGAAUAGCGCCAUUCACUGACGUCAAUCCCUGAGGAAGCCACGGCUAACUACGUGCCAGCAGCCGCGGUAACACGUAGGUGGCAAGCGUUGUUCGGAAUUACUGGGCUUAAAGGGCGCGUAGGUGGCUUGGUCAGUCGGGCGUGAAAGCCCUCGGCCCAACCGAGGAAGUGCGCUCGAUACUGCCAGGCUUGAGUGCAGGAGGGGAGAGUGGAAUUCCUGGUGGAGCGGUGAAAUGCGUAGAUAUCAGGAGGAACGCCAGUGGCGAAAGCGACUCUCUAGCCUGCAACUGACACUGAGGCGCGAAAGCCAGGGGAGCGAACGGGAUUAGAUACCCCGGUAGUCCUGGCUGUAAACGAUGGGCACUACGUAGGGGGGAUUCCCAUGUUCUCCCUGCCGUAGCGAAAGUAUAAAGUGCCCCGCCUGGGGAGUACGGCCGCAAGGUUAAAACUCAAAGUAAUUGACGGGGGCUCACACAAGCGGUGGAGCAUGUUGCUUAAUUCGAACAACGCGAAGAACCUUACCGGGGUUGAACUACGCGGGAUUAAACUGUGAAAGCAGUGGCUUGCCCUUUGGGUGUAACCGCGAUAGGUGUUGCAUGGCUGUCGUCAGCUCGUGCCGUGAGGUGUUGGGUUAAGUCCCGUAACGAGCGAAACCCUUGUCCUUAGUUGCCAGCGGGUCAUGCCGGGGACUCUAAGGAGACUGCCGGUGUUAAGCCGGAGGAAGGCGGGGAUGACGUCAAGUCGUCAUGGCCCUUAUGCCCCGGGCCGCAAACGUGCCACAAUGGCCGGCACAAAGAGAAGCGAGGCCGAGAGGCGGAGCCAAUCUCACAAAGCCGGUCCCAGUACGGAUUGAGGGCUGAAAUUCGCCCUCAUGAAGCCGGAAUCGCUAGUAAUCGCGGGUCAGCCAUACCGCGGUGAAUGUGUUCCUGAGCCUUGUACACACCGCCCGUCAAGCCACGAGAGCUGGGGGGGCCCGAAGUCGCUGACCUAACCGGCGAAAGCUGGAGGGAGGCGCCGAAGGCCAAACUAGUGAUCGGGACUAAGUCGUAACAAGGUA